CACUACAAGAAAUAAUGCCUUUAGGGACGACUUUUUAUGGUCGCUAAAAGCAAAAAAAUGGUCGCUAAAACGUAUAGCGAGCAAAUUAAGCUUGGUCACUCGUGGUCACAACAGGGUGGCUACUAAAAGUAUUAGUGACCAGUUAAUCGAUUGGACGCAAAAGUGACUUCUUUUGCGACCAUACAAUCAUGGUCAUUAAAGAUGAAUUUAUUUGCGACCAAUUAAUUAAUCGCUAAUCUAAAAAAAUAUGGUCUCUAUAAUAUUGAUAUGGUUGCUAUACAUAUACAUUUAGUCACCAAUCGUCUUGGUUGCAGUAUAAUAUUUCUGUAGCGACCAAAACAUUGAUGGUAACAUAAUACU
rnacentral:lncRNA from 1 species